rnacentral:lncRNA from 1 species
AGAAAUACUGCAGAAAACAUAUUCAACAGUUAUAACAACCCAAAAGAUCCGGCAUCACAAGUCUGAGCCUCUAAGUACACUAAGCAGUAUCCUAAAUAUAGAAAAGUCUAGACAUGGAAGAAAAGAUAGAUAAGAGGAGACAUCAGGUUCUGCGGAUGCCAGAAGCUACCUUGAUAAUUCCUGAACCGAUCUAGGCAACAACAGAUAAGCACAGCUAAGCCUCCGGGAUCCCUGUAUCUGCACACAAGGUGCAGGGAGUAGAGUGAGUACUUCAAACUCAGUGAGUAAUAGCAAUAAAUAAUAACUGAAUGUAAGAACUCUGGUAAAAACACUAUACAGUUCUAUUUUCAACGGCAAGAGCAGUAAAUGAGUACAUAACAGGGAGAAAAAUCUGAUAAAUACUUCCCUUUCCGUCCAACCAAUUGCUAACACUGAUGCGGCGCGCAACCCGAUCCAAAACCAAGUAAGUAAACUGCUGCGACGCGCAACCCGAUCUAAUAUAAUAUAUAUAAUGCUGCAGCGCGCAGCCCGAUCCAAUAAAUAUAGCCGGCUGCGCUCAUUGGGGGUGUGUAAUGACUCCGGGGGGAUUCCUUCAGCCCAUACGCUAAAAUACUGUGGCGUACAGUCCGAUCCAUAUAUCACUGCGACGUGCAGUCCGAUCCAUAUAAUGUACUACUACGGCGUGCAGUGCGAUCCAUAUAAUAUAAUACUGCGGCGUGCAGUCCGAUCCAGUACAUGUAUAUGUAUAUACUGUUGCGGCGUGCAGUCCGACCAGAUAUAUAUGUAUAUAUAUCAAAUAGUCUCACUACGCGGUGCAUGACCCCUCUCAGUCAAUAUAGACUUGGCCUCUCGGGCCCAUUCAGCUAAGACAUAGCAUUCAAUCCUAGGUAUUGCUCAUUUAGGGUGCCAGUUACGAAAUCCUCUUUAUUUCAUGAUUUAUAGUCAAAAUCAGGACAAUUGGUAUGUGUCGUAAUAGGCUAAUGGGUCAUAACCCGAUAGAAAGAACUCGAAGAUCACCCAAAAAUACGAAGUUUGCAAAACCCGAGCCCCAGUCCCACUUCUAGAAAAAUUACAAAAAACACAUUACUGGAAUCCUCUUCUCGCCACGAGUCCAUAUAUAUCAAAUUUACAAGAAUCAGAGUCCAUUUCACCCCUCAAAUCAACACUUUAAAUUCACUUGGGUUUCAAGCCUUAACCACAAUUUUUAACUUCCAAAACCUUGAAUUCUUUGUGUUUGAUCCAUGGUUUAAUACUAUAAUGACAUACUCUAGGUCCAACAAUCCAUGCAUGAUGUUUUCCCCAAAAUCCUCUUCAAAAUGCUCCCAAAUUUGCCUUAGUCCGAGGUCCAAAUGUUCCUCUCUUUUUCAAACUUAUGAAAAAUCAUUAUUCAUUAAACUUGGUCGAUCUCCGCUUCAGCGGCACUUUUUCCGCUUCAGCGACUCCCGCUUCCGCGUCCAUUUGACCACUUCUGCGGUUUGAGUAAAACCCUCAGCGACCGCUUCUGUGGUCCUUGACCGCUUCCGUGACCAUCACUUCUGCGGUGGCAUGACUGCUUCUACGGUCCCAGCCUUUUCUUCAGCUUCCGCUUACGCGGCUCCUCAGCCGCUUCCGCGGUCACCGCUUAAGCGGCUCCCCUUCCGCAAAAGCGGAAAUACCAGAAGCCUUCAGCUGUCUUCAUGCAAUAAAUUCCCAAACCUUCGAUCAACCAUCCGGAAACACCCCGAGGCCCUCGGGACCCCACCAAGACAACCAACCUACUCCAAUACAUCAUACGAACAUGUUCCAAUCAUAAAAACACAACCGUUAACACAAAAAUCAUCAAAUCAAGACGGAUUCAAGCCUAAGUUCAACUAUAACUUCCACAAUUCACAUUCGAUCUAAAACCCGACCAAACGACGUCCGAUAGAUCUGAAAAUUUGCAGACAUAUCCAAAAUCCUCUAACGAAGCUACAGCUUCCGAUCAACCAUCCAGAAUUACCCCGAGGCCCUCGGGACCCCAACCUACUCCAAAAUAUCAUACGAACAUGCUCCAAUCAUAAAAACACAACCUCUAACAUGAAAAUCAUCAAAUCAAGAUGGAUUCAAGCCAAAGUUCAACUAUCACUUUCGAAAUUCACAUUCGAUCUAAAACCUGACCAAACGACGUCCGAUUGACCUGAAAAUUUACAGACAAAACAAAAAUUACCUAUAUAAGCUACACCAACUCUCGGUAUUCCAUUCCGACCCCGGAUCAAAAUCUCACCUAUCAACCGAAAUUUGCUGAAAUUAAAACUUAGUCAAUUCAAGCCUAAUUCUACACUGGACCUCCAAACUCAAUUCUGAUUUCACUUUUCACUUUCAAGUCAUAAAUCACUACCUGAAACUUGUCGAACCAUCGGAAAUUCAUUUCGAGCCCUAUAACUCAUAGUCAACAUCCAGUUGACUUUUCCAAACUAGCAUUCUCUUAAAGAGACUAAUUGUCUUAAUUUCAUCCAAACUCUGACCGAAUCACUCCAAACUUUACCAACACAUAUAAUGAAGCAUACGGAAGAAUAAAAGAGGAAAAACGGACGAUAAUUCACGUGACGACGGGCCGGAUCGUCACAGUGUUUUUCCCUACAGAUAUUACCUUUUGCAUAUGUGUUUUUUUGAACUUCUUUUGAGUCUUAUAAUAUCUAAAAAUUGGAAAGUAGGUGCAUUCUUUUUUACAAUGCACUUGACGUCUCCAAAAGCUCUUUGACACUGUUAUGAAAAUAUAGUGUCAAGCAGGACUGUGACACAUUAUUCUUUACUAUCCAAAUGGUAUAUUUCUAGGUUAUCGCAUUACUCUUUCUUCUUUGAUCUGCACUUCGGUGAAUCGAAGGCUUAUUAAAAGCACAGGCAAAAAGCAUAUUUAUAGGACUUAUUAAAAUGUCCUAUAACUACAUACAAGUAGUGAUGCUAGUCUUACUUUUCCAAUGUGUUCCAUCCUGCAUGAGUCCGUGGAAGUAUUUUUUUAAUCAGCACGGAUGUUCAGCAAGCAGUAGACUCUUCCAUGGCAAAGGAAUUCUCAAGAUAUCAAUCUCUAUCUUAGCAUUCAACAAUAACCCAGUAUAAUCCCACUUAGCGGAGUCUGGAGAGGGUAGUGUGUACGCAGACCUUACUCCUACCCUGGGAUAGAGAGGCUGUUUCCAAAUAGAUGCCCAAUAUCCUUACCUCCAAGAAACUUCCCACCUUACUCUUGGGGUGACUCGAACUCACAACCUUUCGAUUGGUAACGGGGAUUGCUUACCUAUCUCUAUCUUAGCAUUAAACUUUGGAAUUUUAGACUUUAGGUCUAAACAAAUUAAUAACAUGAAAAAAGCGCAUCAAUUUUUUCAACAACAUAUUUAAAAGUUAUGAAUACACCACGGUAAUACACAUAUAUUAUUCAAGAUAAUAACCAUUCAGUGUGUGCAACCAAAAUAAAGGAAGCUAGAUAAAUAUUUUAUUCUUAAAGGAAGCUACCAAAAUAAAUCAUUCCAAAUAAACUUUCAUAAUUCAAAAUAUAAAAUAAAAUAAAAAAGAAUUUUGACUCUUCAAGAACGGAAUUUUCAUAAUUUUUGAGCCGCCAAAACAAUUUUGUUUAACAUAAGUGAAGCCACAUAGAAUUACAAGAGCAAAUGCUCAUUAAACAAAAUAUAUUUUUAAGAAAAUUAAACACAGGCGGAGAAUCUUUGUCAAUAAUAAAAUUUUUCCGAAGCUUUGAAAUGCCAUAAAAUAACCUUGUUUCACAUAAAUGACCCAUCUAAAAUAAUAAUAACAAAUAGCCACUAAAAAUUUUAAAAAAAAUUACACCGAAAUAAUAAAAUGAAUAUAGAGAAAAAAUAUAAUAAAAAAACUCUCCGGCUAAAAGGGCGGAGCUAACCGAGAGAAGGGCACAAAUUUGUUUCCUUUUUGAAGAAUAAAUCUGCAACUAUAAAGAAAAUAUUACAAUUGUGCGAGGAUGACAAUUGAAAAUCCUUCACAUCAAUCAUGAAAUUUGAGAAAGCAUAGAAAGAUUAAUAAAGACAUCAUCCAUAAUUUUCAAUCGUGAAUUCAGAAGUCUGAAGAACACUGAAAAAAAUAGGGAAGAAAAGAAAUUGGGGAAAAAAUAAAGAAUAAACCUGACCUGAAAUGAAGAGAACUCACAAAAAGCACUUUAGAGUAGCGGAAGAGAUGAAAAGAGCGACUUUGUUUC